ensembl:lncRNA
CUUCAGGCCAAAUCUGUAUUACGAAGACCUGGAGAGAAUGGAGGAGGUGGUCAUGUCAAUUCUGCACAACUUAGAGAUGGAGAACACUGAGAUCCAUGAGAACAGCCAUAAGCUGAAGAAGGAGAUUACCUUCUCUAGAAACCUGCUCAGCCAGCUCCUGAUGGAGAACACAUGUAGGAAGAAGUUGGUCCCACAGAUGCAGGGGAGCAAGGAGGGACAUCUUGAUUGUGCACUGAACCAGAAAUAUUUGGUUGACUUCAACAAGAAAGAUAAAGACCAGCAACGUCCAGAUCCAGCAUCAUCAGGUCUCAGAAAGUGCAAGAGAGCUGGAAUUGGACACACACCAGUAAGAGAGCUUCCUGAGGAAUAAGUUGCUUUCUCAGGAGUCCCUAAUGACAAAUAUCCUGAACGAAAACACCACUUGAGAGACAACUUGGGGGACCGCCUUUCAUUAUGUGUGCUAGAGGAGAAACAGCAAUACAUCUGUGCUUCUAAAUGUUUGUUAAGAAUAUGCUGUUUAGAAAUAUUUUUGUUAUGAUUUUAAUUGAAGUUUUCUUUUUGUUGUUUCAUAUUUAUAUGUUCUUGUUACUGUUUUUCACUUUCCAAUAUGUUUAAAUAUUUUUAUUCAUUCAUUUUAAUCCUG